UACGUAGGGGGCAAGCGUUGUCCGGAUUUAUUGGGCGUAAAAGAGCGUGUAGGCGGCCUGAAAGGUCAGCUGUGAAACUCGAGGCUCAACCUCGAGACGUCGGUUGAAACCAUCUGGCUAGAGUCCGGAAGAGGAGAGUGGAAUUCCCGGUGUAGCGGUGAAAUGCGCAGAUAUCGGGAAGAACACCCGUGGCGAAGGCGGCUCUCUGGGACGGUACUGACGCUGAGACGCGAAAGCGUGGGGAGCGAACAGG
rnacentral:rRNA from 1 species